GGGGAUGAUCGGUUUCGACGGUAGUGAUUACCGAAGGGAAGCGGGUAGAGGAUGCACAGUUAUCUCUUUAACGAUCUGUGCGAAAAAAAUAACUGCCAAUAAGCAGAAGUCUGAUUUCGCCCUCGCCGCCUGAGCGAGCGCAUUAACUAAGAAAUCCGUCAGACUCACGUUGCUUUCGCGUGAGAACUCUGGCGUCGCCUUUGAAAGCCACUGGCACUAGCGGUUCGCUAUUAACCGCUAGGCGACUCCCAAGUAGCUAGGUUCGUCAGCAACAUGUCUGUUAGAGUGCUGGAGCCAAAAACAACGAUGAACAGACUGCACCCGGAGAAGCCUUGGGUUCCUCAUUAUCGGACGGGAGUUCAAUUCUCCCCAUCUCCACCA
rnacentral:tmRNA from 1 species